AUCCAUCUGACCAGUCCCAAAUAGGACGAAAUGCACAUCCUGGAU
rnacentral:hammerhead_ribozyme from 1 species